CCUUUGUUGCCCUGUGCUCACGGCUUAGGCAAAUUGUAAGUUCUAGUCGGGCUGCCAUCAAACAGCAGGCAAGCGUUCCAGCCAGAGCCAUUAGCCGAAGGGACUCCGAACAGAAAGCAUCGUUCAAGCUAGACUGUCUUCGGACGGUCUUCUUCGCCGUGGACGUACGACAGGGGAGGAAACUACGUGAUGCAUACGUCAAAAUCACGUAAGCCAGCUUUCCAAGUAAAGAACUUUCCAGCGUCUUCGGAGAUGCUUCCCCGACAGCUAGUUCUUUAUUCAGAGAGAAACAGGUCGCCAACUCCAGCCGUGGUGUCCCGCACACCGUGAUCAGCCACGAGAUUUGACCCCGAUGAACCUGGGAGGGGCAAUACUAUUUUGUGUGCAAAACUUGAGUCUGGAUGGAUAACUUUGCUUGUGGUGCUUGGUACAACGUCAUGACAAAUGUGGCGGUACGGCAACGUCAUCACGUGAACGACGUGCAUAGUGUCAGCGGUUCAGUGUCUGAGUAACCUUACGGCCCUCGUCUCACCCUCCCAUCGUUAUCGCGAGUUCCUGUCAGAGUCUCGUGGAUUUACCAGAAGCUAUGUACUUCCGUCCUCCAUUCCUUGACAUCACAGCUGCAAAAAGGGUAAAUCACAUAUGGCGAUAAGUUUCCGAUUCUUAGUCGCUUUCACUUCUGUGGAUUACAACAGCAUUCACAUCAGAUCGUCGUUACAAGACCGGCAGGUGAACCACAAAAGCUUCAGGUACCAGACACCUGAGCUGCAGAGUGAACUUUGUGACCGCUCCUCUAGCAGCUGCAGCAGACAGGAAUACAUGAGGUCAGCAGACUCUAAGUCUCAAAACAAGGAAUAAAAACUUGCUGCGCGGAAACUUACGAUCGUCUUUGACUUCUUGUCCAGGCCGAGCUACGAGGCGCAGUGUAAACAACGAGAUGUCGGAAAUGACAAUUCUAGAUGGAUCGGUAAACAAAUCAACAAACGAUGAGUCAACAGCGACUGGACUGAGUGGUAAAGUGAGAAUCAAGACCUGAAGAGCGCAGACCUCUGUCAUCUACCGAGUGUUAUCGGCGAGGAAGACGGGUACCUGAUGAAAGUGAAGAUGUGGUCUGGUCUCAUUCUCAACGUGAGACCCGCUUUGUAUCCAGAAGACACUUGCUCCUAAUGGUUCCAGCACCAGAAGCUGUGCCACCCAAAACUGUUUGAUACUGAAAUGUUGAGACUGGUGACAAGCACCUCAUUGGUGAUCAAAGGGGUUAAAAUAAACAGAUACAAACCCCGGUUGUAAAAUACUUCAGUUUCUCAGAAAGCCUAAAUACCCUUCUAUAAACCCUUUGUCAAACUUUGGUCAAAUAUUCCUUUCAUGUGUGUGUAAUAAAUUUUAUUCCCUUUAAGAAAAAAACAUUCCCUUUUAACCAUUUCCGGAAUCGUUUCUGCCACCCGCCAUCCUCUACCGGCACUUUACAAGCACUGAUGUACAUUCAACCAACAUCCACUUCGAGUAACCAACAUCUGACGGACGGUCUGUCAGCAGUCCAGGGUGUAGGUCAAGGAAUCCCAGCGUCCAAUGCGGGUGUCCUGUGGUGUGUUCUAGCAAAAACCUACUUCCUUGUCUGCGCGCGCAUCAAAGAAGUGAGGUGAGCCGGAAACUGUGAUAUACGGUCUCUGUGCCAAUUGUUUGCUUAGUCAGUCUAACUCAGCCCUCAAAUUCGUGGCGGAGGUAUAGAGAUGUGGAGGCAAGUUCGCGGUUAGGCCAUCACAACAUGAAACUGAACUCGAAGUUGUUAGCGAGAUAAGAACACGGAGCGCUGUUAGUUAAGUUUGAAUUAAAUUAAAUUUAACUUUGAGUAAAGCACACGUGGAUAAUGGACAGGUCUACAUUCUGUCUACUGACGCCAUUAAAGUUGCGGAUAAUUUGAAAACAUUUUUCUGUUGAGACUUUGUCCGAUCAGCAAAAUUUUAAUUUAAAUUUUUUUUUUUUUUCGUUAUUUGUAAAAUCGAUGGAAAUGAGGAUUUCUACAACAGGCAGGUCAGGAUAGUAAAGAAUGUGUUUUUUUUCUCUCCUAUUUUGAGAAUUCAUAUUAAUAAUGACACAAUAUUUUUUUAAAAUAAUGUCACACAUUCUUAGACCUGCUGUUGCUUCAGAUGACCGUCGCAGGUUCCCGGUACCAUGGCAACAGGUUAGCGGCAGCACACCUUGGUCCUGUCACACGCUGCGGCACAUUUUUUGUCUUUUUUUUUUUUUUUUUUCACGGGGUCGGCGGUGAAAAUCCGCGCCUCGACCCCCGCAUACUUUCACACAAACAGAGACCAGUCUCGCGUUGCCAGCCUUUGCCAUUCAGCGCGCAUGCGCGUCUGUUUGGAGGCCUUCCUCCUUACCCGCCCAGCCACCAUGUCUGUUUACCUCCCCUUCCGUGCGUGUUGGCCUCCCUUUGCGCCUCAUCACGCGCGAGUGGGGAGGGGGGAGAUGGAAGAGAGAAAGAGAGAGAAGCAAGUCUGAGUCCAAGGGAGACGAUCUGGACGAAGACGUCACCAAAUAAAUAAAUAAAAUGCGCGGCAGCCGGGUGUCGAAACACGGGCACCAGCUUUGCCUUGGGACUCGGCAAGAGAAAAACAAAGCCAUAAAAAUGUUGAUGACGGGCACCCCUUUCUUAAAGACACCCUGAUUAGAUGUUGUCAGAGGCGUAGCUGAAAAUGUUUAGUGCUAGAGAUCAUGGUCAAGUUGAAUUUUAGACCAACAGAAAAUUAUAAGUAAACAAAAACAAACAAAAAAAUAAAUGGGGGUUGAAACAGAAUUGACCUCUCCCUGGUAUUGGUGAUAUUUGUAGAAAGGUAUCUCAAGAACGAAAGGGGUGGACUAUUAACCCAGAUUUGAGAAAAUAGUGCCUUGCACUAAACUUUACUCCGUCCUGAGAAAAAAAAAA